GAUGAAGAACGCAGCGAAAUGCGAUAAGUAGUGUGAAUUGCAGAAUUCAGUGAACCAUCGAAUCUUUGAACGCACAUUGCGCCCGGCAGUAAUCUGCCGGGCAUGCCUGUCCGAGCGUCAUUUCUCCCCUCGAGCGCAGCUUUCCCCCCCGGGGGAGGGCCGCGCCCGGUGUUGGGGCGCUACGGAGGAGCCCAGCGCUCCCCCGUAGGCCCCGAAAUGUAGUGGCGGUCCCGCCGCGGCGCCCCCUGCGUAGUAGUUUUACAACUCGCAUCGGGUCCCGGCGGAGGCCAGCCGUCAAACCCCCCAACUUCAAUAGUUUGACCUCGGAUCAGGUAGGGUUACCCGCUGAACUUAAGCAUAUCAAUAAGCGGAGGA
rnacentral:misc_RNA from 1 species